CCUACGGUGGGCAGCAGUGAGGAAUAUUGGUCAAUGGGCGCGAGCCUGAAUCAGCCAAGUAGCGUGAAGGAUGACUGCCCUACGGGUUGUACACUUCUUUUAUAAAGGAAUAAAGUGAGGCACGUGUGCCUUUUUGUAUGUACUUUAUGAAUAAGGAUCGGCUAACUCCGUGCCAGCAGCCGCGGUAAUACGGAGGAUCCGAGCGUUAUCCGGAUUUAUUGGGUUUAAAGGGAGCGUAAAUGGGUUGUUAAGUCAGUUGUGAAAGUUUGCGGCUCAACCGUAAAAUUGCAAUUGAUACUGGCAGUCUUGAGUACAGUUGAGGUAGGCGGAAUUCGUGGUGUAGCGGUGAAAUGCUUAGAUAUCACGAAGAACUCCGAUUGCGAAGGCAGCAUACCGGCGCCCGACUGACGCUGAGGCACGAAAGCGUGGGGAUCGAACAGGAUUAGAUACCCUAGUAGUC
rnacentral:rRNA from 1 species